GAUGAACGCUGGCGGCGUGCCUAAUACAUGCAAGUCGAGCGAACGGACGAGAAGCUUGCUUCUCUGAUGUUAGCGGCGGACGGGUGAGUAACACGUGGAUAACCUACCUAUAAGACUGGGAUAACUUCGGGAAGCCGUAGCUAAUACCGGAUAAUAUUUUGAACCGCAUGGUUCAAAAGUGAAAGACGGUCUUGCUGCCACUUAUAGAUGGAUCCGCGCUGCAUUAGCUAGUUGGUAAGGUAACGGCUUACCAAGGCAACGAUGCAUAGCCGACCUGAGAGGGUGAUCGGCCACACUGGAACUGAGACACGGUCCAGACUCCUACGGGAGGCAGCAGUAGGGAAUCUUCCGCAAUGGGCGAAAGCCUGACGGAGCAACGCCGCGUGAGUGAUGAAGGUCUUCGGAUCGUAAAACUCUGUUAUUAGGGAAGAACAUAUGUGUAAGUAACUGUGCACAUCUUGACGGUACCUAAUCAGAAAGCCACGGCUAACUACGUG
rnacentral:rRNA from 1 species